CUACGCUUCCCCUGCCGCUGGCAAAAUCCAGCGGUCGGGUUUGGAAGCCCGAAUC
rnacentral:ncRNA from 1 species